rnacentral:rRNA from 1 species
AGAGUUUGAUCCUGGCUCAGGAUGAACGCUAGCUACAGGCUUAACACAUGCAAGUCGAGGGGCAGCGGGAUUGAAGCUUGCUUCAAUUGCCGGCGACCGGCGCACGGGUGAGUAACGCGUAUCCAACCUUCCGUACACUCAAGGAUAGCCUUUCGAAAGAAAGAUUAAUACCUGAUGGUAUGAUGAGAUUGCAUGAUAGCAUCAUUAAAGAUUUAUCGGUGUACGAUGGGGAUGCGUUCCAUUAGGUAGUAGGCGGGGUAACGGCCCACCUAGCCAACGAUGGAUAGGGGUUCUGAGAGGAAGGUCCCCCACAUUGGAACUGAGACACGGUCCAAACUCCUACGGGAGGCAGCAGUGAGGAAUAUUGGUCAAUGGACGAGAGUCUGAACCAGCCAAGUAGCGUGAAGGAUGAAGGUCCUACGGAUUGUAAACUUCUUUUAUAAGGGAAUAAACCCUCCCACGUGUGGGAGCUUGUAUGUACCUUAUGAAUAAGCAUCGGCUAACUCCGUGCCAGCAGCCGCGGUAAUACGGAGGAUGCGAGCGUUAUCCGGAUUUAUUGGGUUUAAAGGGAGCGCAGACGGGUCGUUAAGUCAGCUGUGAAAGUUUGGGGCUCAACCUUAAAAUUGCAGUUGAUACUGGCGUCCUUGAGUGCGGUUGAGGUGUGCGGAAUUCGUGGUGUAGCGGUGAAAUGCUUAGAUAUCACGAAGAACUCCGAUUGCGAAGGCAGCACACUAAUCCGUAACUGACGUUCAUGCUCGAAAGUGUGGGUAUCAAACAGGAUUAGAUACCCUGGUAGUCCACACGGUAAAC